ACUAGAAAACUUAUCGCUUACAUUUUUAUUUACCUUCUUCAGAGGGCGCUAAUAUUCAACACUUAACAGUCGAAAUUUAUGUGAAAUGAAUUGUGAAAAAAGUAAGGGUGGGAGGAGUAUUCGGCUCGGAGUCUUGGUCCCUAUUCGCUCUGUGCGCGACUUCAGCGCCAUGGCACGUUUGAACUACAGGGGGCUAUUGUAAUAUAUUUCUUAUGUAUUGAAUGGCUGUCAGAAAUAAUAAUAUCGAAUGAUAAAUAAAAAAAUGUUUUUUUAAUUAAAGGAAAUAUUUAUAAUAAAUAUUUGUUAAUGUAAAGUGUUCUUGUGCAUUAAAAAGUGAAAUAUUUGGAUUUAAAAUGGAAACCAUAAUAAAAACGGGAUUUCAAUCAAUAACCCACGAAAUUCAGUUCCAGCCACAGACAUUGGUAAAA